GAUGAACGCUGGCGGCGUGCCUAAUACAUGCAAGUCGAGCGAACAGACGAGGAGCUUGCUCCUCUGACGUUAGCGGCGGACGGGUGAGUAACACGUGGAUAACCUACCUAUAAGACUGGGAUAACUUCGGGAAACCGGAGCUAAUACCGGAUAAUAUAUUGAACCGCAUGGUUCAAUAGUGAAAGACGGUUUUGCUGUCACUUAUAGAUGGAUCCGCGCCGCAUUAGCUAGUUGGUAAGGUAACGGCUUACCAAGGCGACGAUGCGUAGCCGACCUGAGAGGGGGAUCGGCCACAAUGGAACGGAGACACGGGCCAGACUCCUACGGGAGGCAGCAGGAGGGAAUCUUCCGCAAUGGGGGAAAGCCGGAAGGGGGAACGCCGCGGGAGUGAUGAAGGGUUUCGGAUCGGAAAACUCCGUUUUUAGGGAAAAAAAAAUGGGUAAGUAAAUAUGCACGUCUUGGCGGGAACCAAACAAAAAGCCACGGCUAAAUACGUG
rnacentral:rRNA from 1 species